rnacentral:rRNA from 1 species
UACGUAGGCAGCGAGCGUUGUUCGGAAUUACUGGGCGUAAAGAGUGUGUAGGCGGUGCUCCCAGUCUGUUGUGAAAUCUCCCGGCUUAACUGGGAGGGUGCAGCGGAAACUAGAGUGCUAGAGGGUGGGAGAGGUAAGCGGAAUUCCUGGUGUAGCGGUGAAAUGCGUAGAUAUCUGGAGGAACACCGGUGGCGAAGGCGGCAUCCUGGACCAAUUCUGACGCUGAGGAGCGAAAGCAGGGAGCAACGGGAUAGCAACC